rnacentral:SRP_RNA from 1 species
GCUGGGUGUGGUGGUGCACACCUGUAGUCCCAGCUACUCAGGAGGCUGAGGCAGGAGAAUUGCUUGAACCCAGGACGUGGAGGUUGCAGUGAGCCGAGAUUGCACCACUGCACUCCAGCCUGGGUGACAGAGCGAGACUCUGUCUCAA